GAUGAACGCUGGCGGCGUGCCUAAUACAUGCAAGUCGAGCGAACAGACGAGGCGCUUGCUCCUCUGACGUUAGCGGCGGACGGGUGAGUAACACGUGGAUAACCUACCUAUAAGACUGGGAUAACUUCGGGAAACCGGAGCUAAUACCGGAUAAUAUAUUGAACCGCAUGGUUCAAUAGUGAAAGACGGUUUUGCUGUCACUUAUAGAUGGAUCCGCGCCGCAUUAGCUAGUUGGUAAGGUAACGGCUUACCAAGGCGACGAUGCGUAGCCGACCUGAGAGGGGGAUCGGCCACACUGGAACUGAGACACGGUCCAGACUCCUACGGGAGGCAGCAGUAGGGAAUCUUCCGCAAUGGGCGAAAGCCUGACGGAGCGACGCCGCGUGAGUGAUGAAGGUCUUCGGAUCGUAAAACUCUGUUAUUAGGGAAGAACAAAUGUGUAAGUAACUAUGCACGUCUUGACGGUACCUAAUCAGAAAGCCACGGCUAACUACGUG
rnacentral:rRNA from 1 species